ACAGCUGUGCCCAUCCCUGCCCCAGUGAAAGCUAUGGAUUUAAUCCCCAAGCGUACUCAAUGAAUCAAAUGCAGGUAUGGAUUGUGGAUCCCAGUAAGCCCGUCCAUGUACUCCAGCCGUCCUUGAAAAUGGAUAUUUGGGGCAUGAGGAGCAGAUUGAGGUGAAGAAAUGCAGAGCUAGGAUGGCGGAGGGAAGAAGAGGGAGACUGAGAGCCCAGGGGAUUCGGAAAUCCGGAGGACUGUGCUGGACUUUCUAACAGGAGAGAGCCACUCAGGAAGACUGGAUGACUGGGGCAUACUUCGAUGAUGGAAGAAAUGAUGGUGAUGAAAACCCUCAAGGAAAUAAUUCACCUCCAGUAACAUCAGAGCUGUCCUUUAGGUUCUGAAGUUAGCACAGGCCCUUAUGAGUGGAGGGGCAGCUGUUCAUUAUCCUUACCUACUCCGCUUCACCCCAAGGUGGUCCCCUGUCUCACUGGUGUCAAUCAACAGCAAAGAUCCUGUCCUCUAACUACCUGCAAAAACACUACUUAAGGUGUCGCCCCCUCUUCAUGGGAGUAGACAUAUUCUCCU
ensembl:lncRNA novel transcript